CUGAAACAAACUAGCAACGCACAGAGCACGCCGAUCUGAGGGGAAAAAUCAUUUCACACGGAAUUUGUCUGCAUUUAAGAGCCAUUUUUAUCUGCGCCAUAACAGCCCUAUACGGAGCCCUCCUAGUGUCAGGCAGCGUUGUUCUGGAUGGAGCUUGACUGCCCUCAUGUGUCCACCCUCGGGAACGGCGAUUUCCCAGUAGCGGUAUUCUGGGUAAGUAAUAUGACAUGACUACUAUUAAUCUCUCUCCUUUUUUAACCCGUUCAUGAUAAUUAUUGUUGCAAUGUAAUAAUGUGUGGUAUACAUUACCUUUAUCUUUGAAAUUUCUAAUAAUAUUAGAAAUACAUUUCUAUUCUCAUCGCUGCUCCUAUGUAACUUAAUGCAUUCCGUAGGUGGCCUCAUCUAUUUAAGUCGAGAAUAUCAAGAAAUAGUGAACAUUACAGUGUUAAUAAUAUAUUAGAAAAGAACGUGUGUACUUUAUUAUUAUGUUUUUUCCUCCACAAUAUUUUUAUUUCUCACUUUGUAAUACUUUGAAAUUCAAACUUUUACAUUUAUGUACAUUCAUUCAAAUUCUAUUUAUCCAUAAAAACUCUGCAGUUACUCUGGAAAAUUAAAUGAGUGUGUGUGUGUGUAUAUAUAUAUAUAUAUAUAUAUAUAUAUAUAUAUAUAUAUAUAUAUAUAUAUAAUAAAUCAAACAAACCAACAAAAAAGAAAGAAACAACCAAACAACACUCAGAACAAGAAUGCUCCUCCUGUGUUAGCAAAUGAUAAUCUACUCACGAUUGAUUUUUAUAAUUGUAACGAAUACAAAAUGAAACUAAAAUGUUGAAGUGUACAUCAAUUUUACAAAGUCGGAACCUGCACUGUCCACAAAUAUUAGUCAUCCAGUCCCUCAUCUGUUAAAUUCAAAUACUUAAUACAAUCAAUGAAAGGGCUCCGUACAUUUUGAAAUAUUUGCAGUUUAGCUUUUAAUAUGUAAGUUAUCACUUCUAAUGGAAGGCUCGACAACAUUUGUCUUAUCCACUGAGUAGUACUUGGUGUGUGAGUCUUUUUCCACAACAAUGCGACACAUUUUUUGGCAUGAAGCAAGCCGAGGUCUAUAAAUGCUCGCUCAUGUCUACUAUGUUUCUUUGGGUAUUAGUGCAACAAAAAGCCUAGGGUCUAGUAAAAAAAUUUUGAAAUUAUUUUCUCCAUUAUGACUCUUACCUCUUCCCAGAUUAAUUUAGUCUUUCUGCAUUGCCAAAUACAAUGAAACAAAAUUCCUGUAGCUUCCAUACAUCCUGUACAUAUGUUUGGUACGCUUUUAUUAUCUCUAUUUAAUUCCACUGGUGCUACAUAUGUCUGCAUUAACCAUUUAUACUGUAUAAGUUUAUGGCGUGUGUUUAUAGACAUAGUAUGAGUCCUAGUACAAGCUACUUUCCAAUCCUCAACUUCAAACUGCAAGUCUUCCUCCCAUGCAUUCAACUUACACAGUGAAUCAUCGGACGAACAAGAAGUCUGCAACCCAUUAAACCCAGAUAUGAUGCUCUUUCUCAAAUUAUGAUCUAUCAUUUUUUUUCCAAAG